CACCGCGUAGCUCAGUUGGAAGAGCAUUGGGCUAGUAUUCCAAAGGUCGUAGGUUCGAAUCCCACCGUGGCAG